rnacentral:snRNA from 1 species
GAUUGGACCAUCACUUUU